AGUGCCUCCUGGGGUGGAAUCCUAGAGAGCACUUCUUAGGAACAGGCUGAGAGAACGGAAGAAGGCUGACCUGACAGUGGGCAAAUCAAGUUGUGACUCCAGCGACACAGACUAAGCUGCACACCCAGUUCUAAGAGCACUCUGCUUUCCACUCGCCAGUACUGCCCCGAGGACUGUGCACAUGAACAGUGAAUGAACAUCAGGCAAUGAAUCAGAACAACUCACCCCUGCUCCACCUGCGGGACACAGUAGCCUGGGCGUUGGAGACCAGCAGCAGAAGCAGCAGCGCUUUCCAAAGCAUCUUCACUUCCAGAAGAGUGAGCAAUUGACCCUCGAUCCCGGUGAGAUCCUGGUGGGACCUACAGUGAGGAAAGAGUUGGGGGACCUUGGCCGAUAGUCAAGAAGAUUCAAAGAUCCAGAGAAAGAUGCCAUGGACCUUAUUCAAGGCAGAAGGAAGAGCGUUUUUGGCUUAUGUUCCAAAGGGAAGAAGAGUCCAUGGUGGGAGACAGCUGGAGCAUAAAGCUGAGCGCUCAUGUCUUCAAACAGGCACAGGAAGCAGAGCAUGAAACUGGAAAAUGGGACGUGGCUAUGAACUCUAAAGCCUGCUCCCAGUGACGUUCUUCCUCCAGCAAGGCCACACCUCCUGAACGUCUGCAAGCAGCUAAGUGUUCAAUACUUGAACCUAUGGGGGAUAUCUCACUCAAACCACCAAAGGGAAAUACGGAUAUGGUGUCAUCAUUCUUUUGGGUUUUCUUUAGCCAACAGGGGUCACAAGACCUCACAGUAUGUUCAGUUUCAUUCAUACCCCAUUUUUACCUAGUGCAACUUCCUGUCCCCCCCAAGGGUGCUCCCCAGUGAAGCUUGUUCACAACUCCAUGAGCCUCUCCUUGGGGUCUGAAUGUGAAAUGCCCCCCCCCCCAGGCUCAUGUGUUUGUACACCUUGUCCCCAGUUGGGGACACUGUUUUGGGAGGUUGUAGAACCUUUGCGUGAUAGAUCUUUGCUGGAGAAAGCAGAUUAAUGGGGGUGGGUCCAUGGGGUUUGUGCUGGAUAGCGUUAGUUGUCAACUUGACACACCUGGGUUGAGGGUGCCUCAAUUGGGGAAUUGCUUCCAUUGGACUGGCCUGUGGCCAUGUCUGUUGGGUAUCUUCUUGAUU